GGGUUGUGAGGUUAAGCGACUAAGCGUACACGGUGGAUGCCCUGGCAGUCAGAGGCGAUGAAGGACGUGCUAAUCUGCGAUAAGCGUCGGUAAGGUGAUAUGAACCGUUAUAACCGGCGAUUUCCGAAUGGGGAAACCCAGUGUGUUUCGACACACUAUCAUUAACUGAAUCCAUAGGUUAAUGAGGCGAACCGGGGGAACUGAAACAUCUAAGUACCCCGAGGAAAAGAAAUCAACCGAGAUUCCCCCAGUAGCGGCGAGCGAACGGGGAGCAGCCCAGAGCCUGAAUCAGUGUGUGUGUUAGUGGAAGCGUCUGGAAAGGCGCGCGAUACAGGGUGACAGCCCCGUACACAAAAAUGCACAUGCUGUGAGCUCGAUGAGUAGGGCGGGACACGUGGUAUCCUGUCUGAAUAUGGGGGGACCAUCCUCCAAGGCUAAAUACUCCUGACUGACCGAUAGUGAACCAGUACCGUGAGGGAAAGGCGAAAAGAACCCCGGCGAGGGGAGUGAAAAAGAACCUGAAACCGUGUACGUACAAGCAGUGGGAGCACGCUUAGGCGUGUGACUGCGUACCUUUUGUAUAAUGGGUCAGCGACUUAUAUUCUGUAGCAAGGUUAACCGAAUAGGGGAGCCGAAGGGAAACCGAGUCUUAACUGGGCGUUAAGUUGCAGGGUAUAGACCCGAAACCCGGUGAUCUAGCCAUGGGCAGGUUGAAGGUUGGGUAACACUAACUGGAGGACCGAACCGACUAAUGUUGAAAAAUUAGCGGAUGACUUGUGGCUGGGGGUGAAAGGCCAAUCAAACCGGGAGAUAGCUGGUUCUCCCCGAAAGCUAUUUAGGUAGCGCCUCGUGAAUUCAUCUCCGGGGGUAGAGCACUGUUUCGGCAAGGGGGUCAUCCCGACUUACCAACCCGAUGCAAACUGCGAAUACCGGAGAAUGUUAUCACGGGAGACACACGGCGGGUGCUAACGUCCGUCGUGAAGAGGGAAACAACCCAGACCGCCAGCUAAGGUCCCAAAGUCAUGGUUAAGUGGGAAACGAUGUGGGAAGGCCCAGACAGCCAGGAUGUUGGCUUAGAAGCAGCCAUCAUUUAAAGAAAGCGUAAUAGCUCACUGGUCGAGUCGGCCUGCGCGGAAGAUGUAACGGGGCUAAACCAUGCACCGAAGCUGCGGCAGCGACGCUGAUGCGUUGUUGGGUAGGGGAGCGUUCUGUAAGCCUGCGAAGGUGUGCUGUGAGGCAUGCUGGAGGUAUCAGAAGUGCGAAUGCUGACAUAAGUAACGAUAAAGCGGGUGAAAAGCCCGCUCGCCGGAAGACCAAGGGUUCCUGUCCAACGUUAAUCGGGGCAGGGUGAGUCGACCCCUAAGGCGAGGCCGAAAGGCGUAGUCGAUGGGAAACAGGUUAAUAUUCCUGUACUUGGUGUUACUGCGAAGGGGGGACGGAGAAGGCUAUGUUGGCCGGGCGACGGUUGUCCCGGUUUAAGCGUGUAGGCUGGUUUUCCAGGCAAAUCCGGAAAAUCAAGGCUGAGGCGUGAUGACGAGGCACUACGGUGCUGAAGCAACAAAUGCCCUGCUUCCAGGAAAAGCCUCUAAGCAUCAGGUAACAUCAAAUCGUACCCCAAACCGACACAGGUGGUCAGGUAGAGAAUACCAAGGCGCUUGAGAGAACUCGGGUGAAGGAACUAGGCAAAAUGGUGCCGUAACUUCGGGAGAAGGCACGCUGAUAUGUAGGUGAGGUCCCUCGCGGAUGGAGCUGAAAUCAGUCGAAGAUACCAGCUGGCUGCAACUGUUUAUUAAAAACACAGCACUGUGCAAACACGAAAGUGGACGUAUACGGUGUGACGCCUGCCCGGUGCCGGAAGGUUAAUUGAUGGGGUUAGCGCAAGCGAAGCUCUUGAUCGAAGCCCCGGUAAACGGCGGCCGUAACUAUAACGGUCCUAAGGUAGCGAAAUUCCUUGUCGGGUAAGUUCCGACCUGCACGAAUGGCGUAAUGAUGGCCAGGCUGUCUCCACCCGAGACUCAGUGAAAUUGAACUCGCUGUGAAGAUGCAGUGUACCCGCGGCAAGACGGAAAGACCCCGUGAACCUUUACUAUAGCUUGACACUGAACAUUGAGCCUUGAUGUGUAGGAUAGGUGGGAGGCUUUGAAGUGUGGACGCCAGUCUGCAUGGAGCCGACCUUGAAAUACCACCCUUUAAUGUUUGAUGUUCUAACGUUGACCCGUAAUCCGGGUUGCGGACAGUGUCUGGUGGGUAGUUUGACUGGGGCGGUCUCCUCCUAAAGAGUAACGGAGGAGCACGAAGGUUGGCUAAUCCUGGUCGGACAUCAGGAGGUUAGUGCAAUGGCAUAAGCCAGCUUGACUGCGAGCGUGACGGCGCGAGCAGGUGCGAAAGCAGGUCAUAGUGAUCCGGUGGUUCUGAAUGGAAGGGCCAUCGCUCAACGGAUAAAAGGUACUCCGGGGAUAACAGGCUGAUACCGCCCAAGAGUUCAUAUCGACGGCGGUGUUUGGCACCUCGAUGUCGGCUCAUCACAUCCUGGGGCUGAAGUAGGUCCCAAGGGUAUGGCUGUUCGCCAUUUAAAGUGGUACGCGAGCUGGGUUUAGAACGUCGUGAGACAGUUCGGUCCCUAUCUGCCGUGGGCGCUGGAGAACUGAGGGGGGCUGCUCCUAGUACGAGAGGACCGGAGUGGACGCAUCACUGGUGUUCGGGUUGUCAUGCCAAUGGCACUGCCCGGUAGCUAAAUGCGGAAGAGAUAAGUGCUGAAAGCAUCUAAGCACGAAACUUGCCCCGAGAUGAGUUCUCCCUGAC
rnacentral:rRNA from 1 species